GAACCGACCAUUUGCACACCCCUAGCUGGAAGAAUGCUAACAAGAAAAAAUAAAGAAACAAGGCUGAUGAAUCCACAAGAUAAGGUUGCUGUUACACUUUAAUCCUUUAAUAAUUCCAAAGCUUUAACAACUUUAACGUUCCUAUCAAUGACUUGUAAAAUUGGCCACUAACAUCGACAAGAUGAUUACACCCUAUUGAAUUUUAGCACUUAAUUUGCCAGCUGCCCCGCUCUGCCGGAAAUUCGCACCGACGAUAUCAAAACCAAUCGAUAUUUUACAAAAUCUCUGACCAUUUCCACGCAAAUAUGGCAAUGUUUUUGAUGAGGGAUAGCCAGUGUCAGGUUGAGCCAGUGCUGAGCUAGCCUUAAUAGCCAGUGCACAUAACUCUUGCAAAGAAAGUGGUGCAUGGGAUUUAGAGAGAGGCAUGAGGAAAUAAAUCUGACCCAGUUGGAGUUCCUCAUCAUCUGCCGCCUGAGGCGGGCGACAGUUAACAUACAUAGACUCUGAGCUGCAGAGAAAGAAGUUGGGAUACUGGGAGAGAAUGAGAUUGGCUUUGAUGGGUUGCUUGAAUUCUUGCAAACUUCCAUCUAUGUGAACUAUUUUGGCUGUGGAUUUCCAGUUUAGAGCGAGAGAGAGAGCACUCUUUUUUGCAUAUUGAGGUGAUGCACAGUUACCCAUUUCAGAUUUUCAGGAGCUACCUACCUGGGUUUGGGUUGUUU
rnacentral:misc_RNA from 1 species